UACGUAGGCAGCAAGCGUUGUUCGGAAUUACUGGGCGUAAAGAGUGUGUAGGUGGUGUCGUAAGUUUGGUGUAAAAUCUCCAGGCUUAACUUGGAAACUGCCAUUGAUACUAUCAGUCUUGAAUACCGUGGAGGUCAGCGGAAUAUGUCAUGUAGCGGUGAAAUGCUUAGAUAUGACAUAGAACACCAAUUGCGAAGGCAGCUGGCUACACGAAUAUUGACACUGAUGCACGAAAGCGUGGGGAUCAAACAGG
rnacentral:rRNA from 1 species